rnacentral:rRNA from 1 species
UGAUGACGAGACGCUAAGGCGUUGAAGCAGUGUAUGUCAGACUUCCAAGAAAAGCUCGCAAUGUCAUAAAUAAAAGAUGCCUGUACCAUAACCGACACAGGUGGGUAGGUAGAGUAUACUAAGGGGCGCGAGAUAACUCUCUCUAAGGAACUCGCAAAAUGACUCCGUAACUUCGGGAGAAGGAGUGCCUUAUUUAUAAGGUUGCAAUAACAAGAUCCAAGCAACUGUUUAUCAAAAACACAGGUCUCCGCUAAGUCGUAAGACGAUGUAUGGGGGCUGACGCCUGCCCAGUGCCAGAAGGUUAAAGAAGUUGGUUAGUGUAUGCGAAGCUGAUGACUGAAGCCCUGGUGAACGGCGGCCGUAACAAUAACGGUCCUAAGGUAGCGAAAUUCCUUGUCGGGUAAGUUCCGACCCGCACGAAAGGCGUAAUGAUUUGGAUACUGUCUCGGAGAGAGGCUCGGUGAAAUAGACUUGUCUGUGAAGAUGCGGACUACCUGCACCAGGACAGAAAGACCCUAUGAAGCUUUACUGUAACUUGAAAUUGGAAUUGGGCUUUGCUUGCGCAGUAUAGGUGGGAAGCGUUGAAGAUAUUCUUGCGGGAGUAUUGGAGCUAUCAGUGAGAUACCACUCUUGUAAUGUUAGAUUUCUAACUUUGAACCAUAAUCUGGUCAAAGAACAGUUUCAGGUGGGCAGUUUGACUGGGGCGGUCGCCUCCCAAAUGGUAACGGAGGCGUACAAAGGUUUCCUCUGAACGGAUAGAAAUCGUAUCUAGAGUGUAAAGGCAUAAGGAAGCUUGACUGUGAGACCUACAAGUCGAGCAGGGACGAAAGUCGGUCUUAGUGAUCUGACGGUACUGAGUGGAAAGGCCGUCACUCAACGGAUAAAAGUUACUCUAAGGAUAACAGGCUGAUCUCCCCCAAGAGUUCACAUCGACGGGGAGGUUUGGCACCUCGAUGUCGGCUCAUCGCAUCCUGGGGCGGUAGUACGUCCCAAGGGUUGGGCUGUUCGCCCAUGAAAGCGGUACGCGAGCUGGGUUCAGAACGUCGUGAGACAGUUCGGUCCAUAUCCGGUGUAGGCGCUAGAAUAUUGAGAGGAGCCUUCUUUAGUACGAGAGGACCGAGAAGGACACACCGCUGGUGUACCAGUUAUCGUGCCAACGGUAAACGCUGGGUAGCUAUGUGUGGAGUGGAUAACCGCUGGAAGCAUCUAAGUGGGAAGCCCACCUCAAGAUGAGUA